rnacentral:rRNA from 1 species
UGGGGAAUUUUGGACAAUGGGCGCAAGCCUGAUCCAGCAAUGCCGCGUGAGUGAAGAAGGCCUUCGGGUUGUAAAGCUCUUUUAGUUGAAAAGAAAAGGUCGCGACCAAUAAUCGCGAUUUAUGACGGUAUCAACAGAAAAAGCACCGGCUAACUACGUGCCAGCAGCCGCGGUAAUACGUAGGGUGCAAGCGUUAAUCGGAAUUACUGGGCGUAAAGGGUGCGCAGGCGGUUUUGUAAGUCAGAUGUGAAAUCCCCGGGCUUAACCUGGGAAUUGCGUUUGAAACUGUAAAACUAGAGUGCGGCAGAGGGAGGUGGAAUUCCAUGUGUAGCAGUGAAAUGCGUAGAGAUAUGGAAGAACAUCGAUGGCGAAGGCAACCUCCUGGGCUAGCACUGACGCUCAUGCACGAAAGCGUGGGGAGCAAACA